UACGAAGGGGGCUAGCGUUGUUCGGAAUCACUGGGCGUAAAGCGCACGUAGGCGGAUUGUUAAGUCGGGGGUGAAAUCCUGAGGCUCAACCUCAGAACUGCCUUCGAUACUGGCAAUCUCGAGUCCGGAAGAGGUUGGUGGAACAGCUAGUGUAGAGGUGAAAUUCGUAGAUAUUAGCUAGAACACCAGUGGCGAAGGCGGCCAACUGGUCCGGUACUGACGCUGAGGUGCGAAAGCGUGGGGAGCAAGCAGG
rnacentral:rRNA from 1 species